ensembl:lncRNA
CCCUCGCGCCCCGCUUCGGGCUCCCCCUCAUCCCCUCGGGCGGGCUCCUCCGCUCACCUCACACCGCCCGGUCCCCCAACGGCAGUUCCUCAGAGCCGGGAGCUCCCCGUCAGGAGCCCCGCGGGCACCGCCGUUAAUUCCGAGAGGCGAGGCCGGGAAAUGGGGUGGCACUGGGCCCCUCAGAGCGUGCGCUCAUUUCGCAUUUUAUUUCCUAAUGUUCCUAAUGCCGACAUGGAAAGCACAUCUAGCCACGUUUAGGGCGUUGUCAGAUGUACGUCCCUGAUGUGGGAGCCUCCUGAAUUGCAGUUCCCGACAGCCCUAGCUUCCAAACCUUACAAAAGCCAACCCCAUAAACUCUGCCAGACCUGCAACUCCAGAGGACAAAAUACAGGCAAGGAAGGCACGCUAGGUAUUACUCACUUCCUCCAAGGCAUCACAUCGACAAAGAACUACUGCCUCACAGCCCAGCCCAGCACCUUCAGCAUCUCCAGUGCAUCAAACCCCCUCAAAACCAUACAGAGGAGCAAGCACAAGCAGCAGGCAAAUUCACCAUCAGGAGAUAUUCACGAGCUGCUGUGUACAUACACAAAACUGCUAUCCAGUGAUACAGAGGCAAAAUCUCUUCAAGCUUUUAAUGCCAUGGGAAUCCAUAAAAAGCUUUACCAUUCCACACCAUAUUAAAAAAAAAAAUCUGCAAAAUAAACCUUUAUGCAAAACAUUCAGUUAAAAAAAAAACAUUUUUAAGGAAAAGUUUCUGUACUGUUAAUCAUAUACCGAAAAGAUUAUAAGCAGGAGGGAGAGCAACUUUUUACAAGAUCUGACAGCGAUAGGCAAAGGGAGAAUGGUUUUAAACUAAAAGAGGAUAGAUCUAAACCUAAAUCUUAGGAAGAAAUACUUUACUCAGAGGGCAGUGAGGCACUGGUACAGCAGCCCAGAGCUGUGGAUACCCCAUCCCUGAGGGUGUUCCAGGCCAGACUGGAUGGCACCCGGGCAGUCUGAGCUGGCCCUGCCCACAGCAGGGGAUUGGAAACUGUCCCUUUAAACCCAAGGCAUUCUGUGAUUCCAUUACAUUCCUUAUAUAAAUAUUCUGUGCCCUUAAGAAAUGGAGAGCUUUUAAAAAUACAGCUUUCAGACUGGUAAUAUUGGUGGGUACCUACAAAAACAAAUUGAUAGACCAUUUUUUCAGUGAUCUUGCACCCAAGCAUUUUAUUGUCAGACGUUUCCAGAAGGUGAGGUGUUUACAAUACACAUGUAAGCCAGAGGCAUAUCUAAAUUUCAUAAAUGGAUUAAUUCAUUGAAUGGAGUAGUAAAAUUUCCCAAGUUCUGUCAGUGGAGCUAUCUAACUACAGAUGGCAGACUGCUGAAAAAGGAAUACCCAUUUUCAGGCUCAUUUUAGAGGAAAAAAAACACCUUUAUGCAUUUUCCUUUUCCGUCAUAAAAUGGAAAUGAAAUAAUGACUAGGACAAGCACAGAUCUGCACCCCUACUUAAAAUCCCAGCUGACCAAGAGCCAGUCACAGCUACGUGACCGGGUGAAUUUUUUUACACAGAAAGGAGAAAGCAGAGUCUGACAGGCAGUUCCUAUAAAUAAAGCCCAGUUAUCAGCCUCAGUAGGAUGAAGACAGAAACGGUAUGCCUAGGAAAGCAAAAUGUAAAUUCGCUUUUUCUUUUUCGGAAUAUGUGGAACACCUGGGGGGCAUUGGGGAAACUGGGGUGGGGUUGGGGAGGAGAACCUGCCAGAGACAUUUGCAGAUGUUUGUUGACUUGGAUUUACACUACAGGCUUCAUCACAUGUACCUGAAAGUCUGACUUCUCACUAUAACACAGAUUGUGAGAACUCUUACAAGCUCCCUGCCCUUGCUUCUAGAGCAAUUGCAACUGCUGCAGAGCUCCUCUGAAGCCACAGCUGGAGACCUGAGCCUCCCCAGUACUGCAACCAGUGACCAUAAGAGGGUCAAAUACAGUUGCAUGGAUGAAGCAGUGAAAAAUAAACUUGACCAUAUGGUUAAAACACUAUUUUGUGGCUUUUUAGCUACUGAAAAACCCAGGAGACUCAGCUGCAGUGGGUUUCUUACCUUCAGCUUCUACAACGCCUAUUAAGAUGGUAUGAUAUUAUCUUCCACAUGCACACAAAAUUUAGGCUUCUCCAAAUAAGUGCUUAAAAGCAAGCUCCAGAACACGCUGGCUACAAUUAGAGGGGUCAGCGACGAGUCAUACAGCAAAUAUCACUCCUUGUAAUAACAAUACAAGUCUCCUGUUCUACAUCUGUCAUAGAACAGACACUCUUGGAGAACCUUCUGAUUUAAUGUUUGUUUUUUUUUAAUAUAUAUACAUAUACGUUGAAAGCCUUGAAACAACUUUUCUGAACUUUCUCUCUUUUACUUUCUGCUUCUCUGCUAUAAGAGUGCCAGUGAAACAGUACUGGACUGUUAAUUCUUUGAAGAAUGUGUUUCAUUCCUUCUCUCCAAUACCAAAUACUUCUUUUUCCUUUGCAUUCAAUGUGUCUUCCAAUGCACACACACACACACACACACACACACAGGUACAUCCUGCCCCCAGUCAAACAUUCCAGAGCUAACAUCAACAAAGGCACAACAGAAACUGCAAAAGGUACAUUAGUUCACAUUCCUCUAAUACCUUUAGCUUUUUUCUAAUUUAAGUUACAAGAUUUUAAGUUGUGUAUCACUUAUGGGCUCAAGAGCAAUCAUUGUAGAAUUCAGUGUGUUUCACAGCGUGCUACAGAUAAAAACAUGCAAAUAUUGAAAGAUGUGGAGUAGGAGAGCACUCUAUUUUAGCACACUCACAAAACAGCAAAAUUGCUUCUCUGUGUAUGGGGAAAUGCAAACUCAAAGCCAUCUCAAGCUAUUAUCACUCAGAAAACAGAUGCUGAGACUUGUUACAAGGAACUAUACGUGCCCUUUGCUUAGCAGCAAGAGAAAAGUGUUAGGAGGUAUUCAGAAAGGAUAAGGAACAAACCAGCAGAUUACUGUACUAUUUUAUAGACCCACAUUGUGCCAGCCUUUUCAACACCACAUGCAGUUCCAAUUCCUCCGCUUACAAAAAGACAGUGAAGAGGAAGCUGCAUAGAACAGCAUAAUAAGGAUGCUCAAGAGGUGGAUUUCACUAAAUUGACUUGGGAUCUUCAACAUGGCCAAGAGACAAACCAAAGAACAUUCUGCAGUUCUACAAAGGCAGAAGCACUGUGGACAGAACCAGGGAAUAGCUGUUCGCCCCUUCUUCUAACUGGACCAGAUGGACCUGGCAAAUAGCAAGCUCAGAAGAGCUACUUCUGAACACAUGUAACUGCAGUGGGGAGUUCAGCGUCAUGUGAAAUUGCAGCUAUCAAGAAGUUUGUAGCUGAACAGAAGAAAUUCCUAUCUAAAAUUAUUAUAACGCAAAGAUCACUCUAAUUUAAAUUCUGCAGCAACAUUCAGUGUAGGCUGCGAGAGCAUACCAAAAGUACCAUCGUAUCUGUGCAUGCCCUGUUUUUGCCUAUUUCCUUUUGCAAAUGCCCACUACCAGAGGCUGAAUAUUGCUCACAGCUCUUCAGUCUGACUGUACAAACACUGGGCCACUGCAACGUGCUGGACAUGCAGUUGCUCAGCAGUUCCUUUCAUCCCAAACCCUCCCCACUUCUUGCAGAACUGUACAAGCCAAUGUUCCUCUUCCUCCAGAUUCCCUCAGAUCACAUAUUCCUCAUCCCACCACAGAUCAAACAAAUCACAGAUUUCUUAUACAAAUAGCUCAUAAGCUUAUAAAGGGUGAGGGAGCUAUGGGAACAAAUCACCCAAUCUGAAGAAAAGCCGUUGCUUUGCUAUUGCUGGGGGUACAAAGAUGAGUUUGACUACAACUGCUUUUUUGGUCCUCUUUCUCUUACCUACCAUCUGGUGCUUUAAGGCAUCGGAUCUUAUGCUUGGGUCAGUAUCUGGCAAAGCUUCAAGGAAAGAAAAAACACUAAGCAAAGUGAAAGCAUUUGCCCCCUCCACUCCUAUAUUAUUCAGAUUAGGACAGAGGGGCUGAAGAAUACAGACUUCGUCCCAUCCAAGUACUCUUUGCCUUACAAGGACUUAGAGUCACGCAGAGAGCAUUCCUCCGAGGUAUCUGAACUGAAGCAUUUUGAAGCCACUGCAGGACAGCAGCGCUGUCCUGUUCACUCACGCAGGGGGAGGCAGCCAAGUGCUGAAGCUGCAAUUUGUGAAGUAGAGCCAUAAGCUGCGUCAAUGCAGAACCAACGGCUUGAUGUAGGUCUUCCUCCACUCUAAGUACUGCCCAGACCUGCCUAUUACCUCCCUGUACAGUAGCAUCCAAACAUCCCUGGCCUGGGCUAGCAGUUGUCAAGCUUCCAGUAUUUGGUGUACAUCAAAAAAAAAAAAAGGUGACUGAAUGCAGAAACAACAGGAUAGAGAUCACUGGGAUCAUCUAAGGUUGCUGUGAACAGCACAGUUUGGCUCCCAUAGCUCAGUUCUCAUUUACAUCAAUCUCUAAGCCAUGCCCAAAUAUUCCAGGUGAGUGGUAGCUGGCUCAGGGACUACAUUAACCCUCCAGUGGCAUAGAUGGUCAGAUGUCAGUGUUUGGACUCAUGUGGCAGAGCUAUUUGACUAGAAAGGACAUUGCUGAUUACCCAGGAGGGAAAGUGCCUGAUGCAGCAGUUGCAACGCAGCUUUCAGGUUAAGUGUUCCAUACUAUUUAGUAUGUAAGCAAACAACCUAAAAAUCCUUUCAAGCAUGGGUGAGCCCAAAUAAUCUUGCAUCUUCAAGGACCCUGUAAGACCGGACUUUUUUUCUUUGCACUCCUUGCCAGAUACAAGGCUGAAGUGACUAUAUAAAUGCAGUAUAUAGAUGCUAUCAGAACCUCAGGCUCUGCUUGCUGCUUUCCAGUAGUCUUUUGGAAGGUCUACUCUAUGCUGGUGAAAUACUGAGUUGGACCUUAUUUUGGCUGGCAGACGUAACUGAGUUUAAUCUUGCCAGCUCAUGCAGUGCAGACCAGGUAUUCUUCAUAGUUAUGCAUGGGGAAGUGCAGACAACAUAACCUGUUCUCAAACCUGAACAAAUCUUGUAAUUUAAUUUGGGAAUAACUAUUACUGCUGCAUUAUGCUGCUAGAGGUAAGCAGUGCUCUAGUUCUUUAGGUAAACCUUAAUUUUGCUUAGCAACUGAGCACUAGAAAAAUUAAAACUGCUUUUUAAAGUUUUCACCCCUCUUUGAUCUGCAGGGGACAUGAGGAACAUUAUUCCUCCAGUCUGCCUCCAGAAAAUAAACUCAGAAGUCUCUUUGAUCCUGCGAAAAUAUAAUUUCAGUGGUUUUUUUAGUUCAGAUCUUAACAGGUAGCAGCAAACAGAAUUACAGUGAAGUUUCAUUUUGAAAACUCAAUCUACAAGGGUCAAUUAGAAAUAAAAAUCAUACUAGAUUAUCACUACUUAAAUAGAUGACUGAUAAAAGUAGACUCGUUUGCAUUCAAAUAAAACCAAAACACUUCCAACAUCUCCAGGGUCCUCUUUGAGUUCUGCAAAAGAGGACAGCAAUGCUCAGAUACAUGUACAGGAGUCAAUGUGAUUGUGAAAAUAUACAUUUCUACUGCUAAUAGAUUAACUCAAUUCCUGCAGGAUCAAUACAGAUAUCUGAGCAUAUCCAUAAAAACAACUUUUAAAUUUAAAACUUUAAAUAUAACUUUAAAAGUUAAAAUUACCGAUGAUAGUUAAAUGCAGGAACCUCUAAGUUCUCAUAACCUUCCAGUUUAGGUGUUUUUACAGUUUACUGCCACAUCCACUGAAAUGGCUUGUUUCUCUCCCAAGGAUUCAUUAUGACAAAAAUCUUACUCAUUUAUACAAGAAUCUUUUAGUUGGGAAAGAUUAUGCAACUCUUCUAGUCCAAGGACACAGUGGAAAAAAAAUGGAACCAGAAUUGUGCAAGGAGCACUACUGAAGUGGAAACAUAUUUAUAAUGAAUGCACAUUUUAUGUGAAUAGCUACCAAAGCCAAACAUGAGACAUUCCAGCUUAGCUGUUCACCUGCUUUCUACAGCUCAGAAGAGACCACAGAACCGUUAAGGUUAGAGAUGACCUCUAAGAUCACCAAGUCCAAUGCUUAACCCACCCUCACCAUGCCCACUAACCACAUCCCUCAGUGCCACAUCCACACCUCCAAGGAUGAUGACUCCACCACCUCACUGGGCAGUCUGUGCCACUGCCUCACCACUGUUUCUGAGAAGAAAUGUUUUCCUGAUGUCCAACCUGAAUCUCCCUAGCACAGCUGAAGACCACUACUUAUUGUCCUAUCUCUAGACACCACAGUUGGUUUCUUCUGCCCUCUGGCUGACAGUUAACAGUGUUGAUAACCCACUAGUAUUUCCUCUUGGGCUCUUUUUCACUCCCCAGUUGCUAGCCAGAUCUCUUAUGCAAGCAGUCUAUCCCCCCCAGUAAGAAGACUCAGUUAAUAUAAACAUUUUUUUCCAUACAAAAAGGAACAGUCUCAGACAACCACAAAAAGCAAAUUAAUUUCAUAGAUAACUUCCUGCAGUUUGGCCUGAAACAGAAAAUCUUCCACAUUGUUAUUUUAUCUUAACGGCCAAGUUUCUGAGAGAAGUUUGAUAUGAAAUAAAGACAGAUGAGGACAUUUUUUUAAACCUCUUCAUCAUUCUGCUAAUGGAAGCUCAAAAGCUGAAGCUCCGAAUGCUUGCUUUCAGGCAAGAUGCCAAUUUUCUCCUGAUAACUAUUUUGCUGCUGCUAGAGCAGUAUCUUCACAGAUCAUUUCUGCUUUUUCAAUAAUUCUGAGAUGCCUCCUCUACCCGGCCAGAUCCCAGAAUAUUCAAGGUGAAAAGUGCCAAAUUCAGAGCCUAGCUGUGGAGAAUUGAGAUUUUUUCAGAACCAGAAGAAAGUGAGAAUACUACGCAGAUUGCAGUUGAUAUUUUGCCUUGUUGUAUUCAAAGUAGAAGGUUUUUAUUUAGAAGAAAACUCAUCUUUCCCUUUUCUAGCUACUUCGUUGCCUGGAACUUUCACACAUGGGGAGCCCAAUAUCAAUCCCAAAGUGGAAAUGUUUCUCUUCUAUAUCUGAUGCAACCUGAAGUCCAAAUAGCAGUCAUUCUUCAUAAAUUUGCAGUUUACCAAAUCAGCAACUUAUUUGUAGACUCUGUUCAUAACUUCUGAAGAGCAAAUCACAGCUGGCAUGUCAAAUCAAUUACAGAACUGGUCUUCUUUUACAGCCCAACAGGUGUGGCAUAUUAUUACUUUAAGCUACAGACAACAAUUUUCCUAGUGACUUUUCUUUCCUUCAGUAAAGUCUCAUAUUGAAGGCCUACGUAGUUAUCUUUCGUAAUUUUCUAUUUUUGCCUUGGUUCUUAGUAUGUUUGCUGCAUAUUUUCAGGGAACAGCAAUAUGGCACAGAUUAACAUAUGGGAUAAAAGGGGAAAAAGGAUCUUGAGAUAGGGACAGAGCUGAAGACAACAACAGAUUUGGACACCAAGGUCCCAAUUUUGGCCAAGAGUAAGAAAGCUCACAGAGAGAGCUCAAAACUUCAACAGAUCUACUGCAAUAUCUGUAAGAACUAUAAAUUCAGGAAAGAAUAAAUAUACAUAUACCUUUUGUCAGCUUAAGAGCCCCUUCCUACUUGACAAUCAACUAAUUUUCAUGUUUCCCAAUCACACUUUACCAGUAAAGUGGUAACUGGAACAUCCAAACCGAUCCUUCAGGAAAAGCAGCAUUUCUUUUAGAAGUUAAGGCCAAGACACUUCCAGGAGUGCUAUCUCAGAGAAACAGAAAACCUCUCUGUAAACUAUUUUCUUCUCUUUAUGGGUAGGUGAAGAUUCAAAUCUCAUGAUAAGCAGUGAUCCCAGGCGCUGACAAGUUUCCUCAGCUUGAAGCUGAAGCUAACAGGCUUUUUUUCUUUUAAAGUUGGUCAGGUGAAAGACAUCACAGAGUCAAUGGUCCUUACACAACAGCUCACCAGUAACAUACUGCUCUUAAGAACCUCCAUAUAACUGUGUCUAGAGGUAACUAAAAGUAAAGCCUGAAACCAAAAGGGCCGAAGGACAUCACCACAAUAUAAUUUAGAAUUGCUGCCCUAAGGUUGCAAGCGCUACCGGGCAUCUCAUUUAUUAAGUGAGGGUAGAAAGAAGUUAAGCUAGUCUUACUGCUUAAGGCACAGUAGUAUGGAGUUUGAGUAUGAAAUCCUGAAUCACAAGACCAUCUUUUUGAAUCCUUUGGUGGAAAAUCUUCACUUAGUAUUGUACAUUUUACUCCUCCAAUAUUAGACAUGAGAGUUUUAGAAUAUCUACAUGCUGUGAUUACUAGUCUUACAAGCAAAAGCUACCCCUCUCUCCAAUAUGCCAUGUCAUAGGAACUACAGGUUGCCACAUUCAGACAGACCCAAGAGGUUUAGAUGUACUUACCAGUGUCAGAACUGUUAAGACCUUUCCAGUUAAAAACUACUAACUCAUAGAUGGAAAUCAUGCUAUUUCUACUCAUCAUGGCAGCUUUUUCAUAAGGCAAAAAACACAGCAAAAAGACUCUGAAAUCAAUGCUGCCCAAGGGUCUUUGUGUAAGGAUUCCUUCAUGCAGAAAAUAAGGUUUUCAGUGGCUCUAUUGCCUGCAAUCCAAAUUAGCAGAAACUACCAUCAGUACCAACUUAACUGGCAGCAGAAGUUCAAGGGCACAGAAACUACAAUUAACUAUUUUUGACAACUGUAAGAGCAGGUCAAGAACUAUUUUUUUUUUUUCAAAAAUCCAGGUACUGUUACUUCUCAUGAAGUUUCUGAAGGAACACCUUCAGCACUGUGAUGCCCUAACAAAAAUACUAUUUUAAGAUGUUCUGAAGGUAACUCCCAUUCUUGCCACUCAACUUUUUACAAUGUGGUUAAUACUGCUGAACAGGAAGAUGGGGGAGCAUCAGUUCCCAGAAACCAAACCUCGUUAGUAACAGCAAAUUGGUAACUUAAUCAAGUACACUGUAGCUGCAUAUUCUUCCUCUCCAAUGACCUUUAGAUGAUCUAAAAAUACAAUCUUUACUUUUCACUCAGCCUACCAGCUUCAAAAUAAGGUCUAAGCAUUUGAGUCUAUUAAUCUGUUACCUUCUUUGCACAUACACAAAAUAACUCAGGUUUACUUUAGGUCAGUCUGCAAUAAUUCUCUAUCUACAAUCCUUAAACUAGUGCUGUCAUUGCUGAGACAAUGUUCCUUCAGUUACAGGGAGCUUCAAUCCUAAGUAAAAAUAGUACUGACUUGUUACAAGCCUGAAGUAUGGCUCAGGGCUACUGAAGGUGAGAACAUACAUCAGUAGACUGAAUUUUCAUCUCCACUGUAGUUCAAACAGUAACGCUGACCUAACAACACUGUCUCAGGCAGUCUCCAGUUAUUACACUUUUCUUUAGUAUAAAAGCUGAAAACAAGACCAAUAUUAAAGUAUCUUCAAAGAAAAACAAAUAAGCUGUUACUUUAGUCCUCCCCUAGCUCCCCUCAUCCAUUUCCCUACUGUUGCAAUCAUAUGCACUACUUCAUGCAUUUUACAAUUGAUGUGGUAUUCACAUUUCACAUCUUUUUAAACAGAUAGGUCAUAAUUGCCAAGUAAUGCUCACAUAGAAUGAGUAACUCCUUAGGAAAUUCCCAAGCAAACCACUGGGAAAGAUCUCUUAUCCUCCUGUUUCUUAUACUGAUCACUCUCAGAUAGAAUACUGAGCAAGGCAGAUUUUCUCUUACUCUAUACAGUCAUUCUUUUGAGCAUAAGAUACUACUUUGUCUUGCAGAGCCUACAGGAAGUUUUAUACAGUGGCUGAGCAGUACUGUUUUCACAGCCCUGAUAGCCUAACUUGACUAUCUGCUGAAAAGCCACAUUGUGUUUGAAAGAAAAUGGAAUUAUUUUAGUUUUCCAGCUUACAUUCUCUAAGCAAAGCAGAUAUUAAUGACAGACAAGCAAGAAUACUUCUAAUACUGGUUCUAAUGAGAAGUACACAGAAUACAAGUCACUGGCCACAUACAAACACACAGCAUAUACAGACUUCCAUGUGUACUCUGCUCAUCUGUAAUAUUCACCUGCUGAAUUAAUUCAUUCCAACUCAAAUUGUCCUCUCAAUUGUGGGAAGGGGUGGAAACUGUGGGAAAAAAUGGUAUCCCAAACUCAGUGUCAAAGAUAAACAUCAAAAAAAAAGCCUUUCCUUGGACAAAGUCUAACAUUGCUCAGUGUGCUGUGACAGGUCAACUGUCUUAAGUGAAUGAGUCUCUCUCCUCAAAAACUCAUUGUUGAGCUUCCACCUUUGGAACUUGUAACUUACCAGCUGUUAAUUCAAUUGCAACAUCCAUCCUUGUCAGUACAACUCAUAACCAACGUUUAUGUGGCAUAUUUGUACCAUUAAGAGUUUGCCUGAAAGAGAAGGCAGCAAUGCCACCAAAGCAGGCAGCACGCUUCUCUGUAGACUGGUUAGCUUGACAGGAUACACACUUUCUGUUUGCUUGCGUUUUUAACCCACACUGCAGGGUGGGUACUUUGGAAAAGUAACUGCAGCUCACUUGGAACUAUUUAUGAUAUACUGUCUCCACAAGCAAGACAAACUCUCCAACGUCCUGCUUUAAGACUUCCCACUUAAAUGGUAGCAAAGCAUUUAUGCACAGCCACUCUUCUAACUUCCCUGAAGCUCCGAGACGCUCAUCUAAACACAACGCUCCUUUAACUCAGGAGAAUGCUGAUCUUUUGCCCAGUUACUAAGACUGACACAGCAAUACCCCACGACAGUUUGUCUAACCACUGAUUUUGGGAAUCACAGCCCAACACCCAUGUGAUAAAUCAAACACUAAUGACAGCGCAAGAUUUUAACAACUAUUUAUAAUACAAAUGGCAAAAGGGCUUUCACGCUAUUUACUGCAACAUCUGAAAUCAAAGCUUUAAAUCUAGCAAGGUGUUUUGUACAACCGAACUUUAACAUACCUUCCAAAGUCAUUACAUGCCAACUUCAUAAUCAUAUAGAAGUAUCACGCAAAAAAACCCAUACAAGAACUAAAUCCACAAGUGGAUUGCAACAUUAUCCCCUACCACUGUGAGCAAGCUCACUAAUAUUAUACCUCUCAUUUUAAAAUUUGUGAUGCUAGCGUCCAACAUCAUAACCAUUACUCUCAUUAUGAGGAUUGUAAGGUAGUCUCAUGGUUAAAAAACUUGUUCCAGACUUUCUAAAGCACAUUUUUCUUUGCUUAUCCAUAUUCUGCAUCCCAGUGAGUGUUUAUAUCAAAAGAUUUGCAAUUAACCAGGCUCAUCACUGGCCACGUCUUUUUUCUGGACACAUCUUUUCCUGAUGGAAUAGCUUCUGGAAACAGGCUUCCACCACCCCAAGCACAAAUGUAAUACAGUCCUUUGGCCCUUUUUAUCUAUUACUGCCAAUCCUACAUUAGAACAUCCCCAGUAUUUCAGAUUUAGGUUGAAGUUCUUUGGGUAUUCAAGUACCAUCCAUAAUCAUGAAACCAUCCUUUUAAUGUCAGAAAUUAGAAGAGCAACUCAUCCUCACCAGUUUUACUAGAUGCCCACAUGUUAGGAACUCCUCAAAAGCUACAGAUGCUGUUUCAGCUUCAGCCAAAGACUCUGUUACAGUCAAAACUUACUGCAAAUAAAAUCUUGCCCUGUACUGUUAUACAAGCCACAUAAAAAUCCUUUCAGAAUAGCUAAUAUACUACUUACAAAAUAUUGCUGCCCUAUUAUCCUUUUCAGGUUUUCAACAUACUUCUUCCCCGUCAGAAGACACGCUGAGUGUCCCAAGAUUGUCAACUUUUGACUCACCACUUCAACAGCUUCACUAAACAUUGUCAACGUCAACUCAAUAAAAGCCAGAUAAUUGUAGGGGUUGAAAGGGACCUCUGGGAAAUGAUGAAGACCAAUCCGCCCCUGCACAGGCAGAUUUUGGUAAACUCCAGGAGACACCACAAUCUCUCUGGACAGCCUGUUCCAGUGCUGUCACUUUCACAGUAAAGUUCCUCCUGAUUUCAUACAGAACUUUGUGUGUUCCAAUUACUUUCUGUUACCCCUUGUUUAGUGGUGUGCACACCACUGAGAAGGGCUGAAAAUGUAGCGGACCUAAGAUGGGAGACUGAUCUCUCCGCGCUUCUGAAAUAUGUAACUAACAGUGGAGCUUACAUUGUCCAGGAGCCAGUCAAGCAGUGUGUGGAAUGUCACGUGUUCAGCAUGCCCUGUACCAGUACAGUAAGGCCACAGUGCCUUUGCAGCCCUUGCAAAAUAAGAGCUGUCAAGAAGCACCUUAAGUGACUACAGAACUGACGUUGAACAACUAGUUAAGUUUUCCACAUCCUCGUCUUUAUUCAAGAAAGAGCAUGUACAAAACAUAGCAAAUACCUACCCUUCUCAGCAACAUUAACAUGUAAUAAAUCCUGAUUAAAGCCACCAAGGGAAGGUUUUCUGUAGUAAAAUUCUGCAGCUUCUGAUGAUACAUUCAAUAGACUGAUUUACAUAGUUAACUCACUGAGAAGCAGCCUCUGACCAGCCAAAGCAGCUGGUUAUGCAGUAAGCCAAGUCACUCCUGGAGUUCAGUCACAUCAUUACUGUAUGGCUUUGUAGUCAGGCACUUUAUUUCUGAUCUUCCCAAUGCUUCAGAUGCUGCUACUUAGUGUUCUGCACUUCUGCGGUGCUGCACUGGUAGGAAAAUGGGCCUUUCAAGUAUUUGGUGUUUAGAAAUAAGUGCAUUUCAUUAAGUUCUUUCAGAUCCCUAGAGAAAGUUAACUGCUAGCAUCCAAUGCUGUCAUUUUUGGCUGCAGACUACAGGGCUGUUUCCUUAUUUCGGUACAUUCCAAAAUCAUUCAGUAACCACAGCACUACUGAUCAUUGGCUACCACGCAGUUGUCACAUUCCCUCCUUUAUAAAGCAUUCCUGAGAAGGCAGUACAAGAGCCACACCUUAAGGUGGAUUGCAUCUUCCGUGCAUAAUUUGUCUUUAAAGGCAACUUACUCAGAAAACCAAUUUACAAUCCCUCUCUUCCUCAGUGGAAGAGAGAUGAUCUGCUUAAUACAACAAAUACAAUGUUAAGAUGUUACUGUGUGGUUAGUGACUGCUGGCAAGCAAAACUUCCAAUGUUUCUAUUCCUUUUCCUCCCACACUGGGAACAGAUAACACUGCCAAUGUCUUCUUCAGUGGGCACAGUUCCAGUUCCGAUACUGGUCUUUCCAUGCUAAAUUGGCAGCUCAUGAAAACUCCCUUUUCCUUCUCUCCCCAUCUAGAUGCAGAAGAAAAUGAAAGCUUUAGUCUAUGCUUUUUCUGUAACCACAACUUCCUCACGCCACCUGAAAUUUCAAGCGUUUCUUUCUACAGGUGCUUCAUGUUGAUGCUUCCACACCACCUCAUCUACCUCCUUCAAUCUCCCACAUGACAUCAUCAAGGAGCACUCAGUAGUUUGAAUUUAUGUAUCAAUGCUGCAUGGCCUACCUGCAACUUCCAUUGUUUUGAGUUAUUACAGAUGCUCAGUAUCAAAGUCUGCAUACCCUUACAUUUCCUAAGGGCCAAUAGUCUGUUUCUUUUUCAUAUAUUGAAGCUCACCACUCAUUUCCCUACUGCUACUGUUAUCCUUCCCAAAGGGGGCAGUUUGAUGUUUUGAGAGAAGCAUUAUUUUAAGUAUGCAGAGACAGUAAUUUUGGUUCACGUGCAGUUUUUGAUAACGGUAUCUGCUAAACAAUUUCAACAACUGUUUCAGCAGGAUUUUAAAAGCAUGGUCCCACUCCAAGCGAGAACAUCUCUUCAGGUGUUACACUUUCUUCCAGUUACAGAUCAUCCACAUUUGUCAAGCAGCACUGACAAAAACGUUCCAACUCACUGGAAAAAGGAGAACAAGGUCUAAAUAAAAUGGUUCAUUUGAGGAAGAAACUUAAACUUGCAAAUAAGCACAGAAUUGUAUACUUUUUACUAUUUUUCUUUGCAAAAGCACCUAAAACUGCACAGAACUUGUAAUACUUUUCAGUAAGUUUAAAUCUAGUCUUCUCAUCUCAUCUCAGAUGCCGGAUCCGUAGUAGGUUUUUCAGCAAAGAAUUCAGGUUCGGGAUAGGAUCAUCAUAGAUGAGAUGCAGAGACCGCACCACAAAAGCAAAUCUAAUACAUGAUGUGCUUUUCUUUUUUGAUAGUGUUGCUGACUGCAAUGAAAAGACUGAGCAUUCUUUGUCUUAUCACACAUAAAUAAGGUAUUUAAAAGUUCACAGGCAGAUUUUAAGGUUAGCAAAAGUUAAGCACAACUAUGGCACAUGCAGUCCCUUGGGUAGUAAGCGAUCUUAUACUUAGUACAUAUACACAGUAAGUAGUAAGCUACUGUACAAACCUACUGUAUCAGCUAUUGAAGUGCAUUAGCAACAAUCAUAGUCCUAAAAAUUUCUAACUUGUAAACACAGACUUACUUCAGACUUAUUCAUAAAACGCUUGGAAGCUUUCUAAUUACAUACCUGAACAAAUUAAAGCAUUUGUCUGUACAGUUGUGACCAUUUUCCUGCUGGAAAAGAGACAUUUAUUAGCUCAGAAAUGUUUUCUUCCAUCACUCAAAACACAACUUACUAUUUGGUCUAUCAUACGUUACUAAGCACGUGGUGGAAUAACACCAGUACUUAUUAAGCUCCAAAGAACUUAACCUACAAGGGUCCUCACAUCAAAGUAAGAUUUUUUUGCAUGUCUUACCUGGACACUACUUAACUUUGCUAUAAGCUGUGACAGACAACUAAUCUGUUAAGUCUAGGUCUCCCUCUACCAUAAUCAAAAGCUUAAUUUCUGAAAACGAUAGUGAGAAUAUGGUUCUCAGCUUGUAUCAACACAUUAAAAACUCCAAUCUACCAACAUGCAUUAUAUUAAAAAACCUAUUCUACGUAGGACACCUGAAGCAACAUGAAAAUUAAGCACGGUAUUUCGAGCUGGAACUGAUAAAACCUACCAUUAAGGCCAAUAUAGAUGAUGAAAAAUUUCAGCAUUUCCCAUGAUGCACAUACACAUAAACUCUACUGUAUUUCAGAUAUGCCAUCUGCAGUAAUUGCUUACAUGUCACCUCGUACUUUUGAACGGGGCUGACAUGAUAAUGCAGUUUUAAAUACAGUCAUUCAAACCUAGCUUGCCAAGUUUUCAAGGCCUGAAAGAACUACCAAAUCUAUCAUCUUUUUAAUGUUUUACCUACCAUGGCACAAUAAUAUAAUCCCAAGUCAGACAUGCAUUUCUACAAUUUGAUUCUAUCAUUAUUGAAGUCAUACCUUCAAGAAGCAGCCUUCAAGCAUCCCUGCAAAGACAAAAAUUGCACCAAUGAGUUUUAUUAACAAGGCUUGCUACUUUCAGCUUUCCUCCAGACUCCUGUCUAAACAAAGCAUUAUUUUACAGGUAGCACUUCCACACAGAAAGCUUCACUCCUAUGUUUAAACUUUACACAUUGGGACAAAACCCACUCUUUAAAAGAAAUUGUUAGCAGCAGUCUUUAAAUGCAUUUCUUUAGGAAGGAGUGAAAUAAAAUUACAGACGUGCAGUUGGACAACAAAAUUAGAAGCUCACAGUACCAGAUUGAUUUUUAAAAUAAAAACUGAACUUGUACAGAAAUAGUGGUUCAAAACCCACAUUUCAUUGAGAAAGAUUACAUUCAGAAAAAUGUGAAGAAUGAAAACCUGAACAAAGAGCUACCAAUACACCUAAGGCACAAUGAGUGUUCUUGUGCACACUUUUUGCCUGCUGCAGGUAUAUUUAGACUAGCCCUUCUGAAUUAGUUUAACACUAGAGCUGAAACAGCUUUAAUUCAUUACAAUUCACCUCUAAUCAUUAACUUGAGCAAUUCUUACUAUCUGCAUCAGAACGCAUCCUAAGUUAACAGUGCUUUCUGAAAAAGUCAUAGUGCAAGUGUCAUCAGCUAUUUCUAAACUUUCAGAACUUGGUGAGUUUCUCACUUUUAUGCUCCAAGACAAGCUACCUCAAAUUACAGGGAUCUAAGCUUGUCCUCUCUUGUCUUUAAAGUGCUACCAUUUGCUGGGCAACAGCAUGUCCAUAAGCCAAGUUACAGUAGUGCACCAAAAGCCUAAUUCACAAUAUUGAGCUUGUAUAUGAGGACAGCAUAGAAGUAAAACUAACUGGAAGAGUGAGUGACAGAAAGAUUAAAUGACUUUUGAAAGAAAAGUGGUUUUAUCUCAGAAGCCAGAUCCGUAUGAAGUUUUUCAUCAACAAAUCAGGUAUGGCAACUUCAUCACAAUCCACCACUUAAAUAAUUGUACUGGAAAGGAAAUACGCAUAGCUUUAAUAUGGAAUACAUCAACAAAAAGUUUCAGCAGUUUAACACUAAGUAUUACCUCUAUCUGUUGUAGUACAGUUGCCAGGACAUCUUUCAUCACAAUGUUCAACUUUUUUUCCAUUAUUAAAAACUGUUCAUACACCAUCCUAGAUAGGAAUAAAGCGAUUAGAAUACGUUCAUUCAGUAACAGAACCCACUUGGGAUGACCAAGUUUUAGUCAUGUGGAUCGCCCUUCCUCCCCAUUUUUCCUUUCCAGACACAGCCACUGGUUGUACGCAUUUGAGUUUGACGUGUUGAAUUGAACAGAUCCUAAUAUCGUUUCUUAGCAUUUCCAAAAAGAGAAAAUACAGACUACACUCUUAAAAAAUGAGUAAUACGUUUUAAUAGGAAACUUGGAACUAGAUUUGUCUGUUUAUACUGACAAAGAACUUCCAGCUGUCAACUUCAUUUUCUUCACCUCAGCUCUUACACUAAUUUUCUGAUAAAGUGUACACUGACAGAUAAUUAUAAGUCACCUUGAGGUAAUCUGUCACAUUUACGAUGUAAAUCUUAGACAUAUUUUACCAGCUCCCUCACAAGCAGUUUGAAAUAACUGAAACUAUUCACCCACCCUCCUAGCCUACACAUUUCAACAUGGAUCAUGUCAAAUAACAUGCCUGAAAUACACUAACAUCUCAUUUUUAAAGCUAAUGACAACAUUUCUAAUUUGAUUACAAGUAUGUUGCUAAGCCAUUUAACAAGUCAAUUUAUCCCCACAGAUCAUUCAAAACAUACACAGCUUUCAGGAAAAUCCACUUGUGUGUACCAAAUACUCCUCUAGUUCCAAUGGUGCUUCCAUGAUGGGCUAAAAUCAAAAUUAAGCAAAAAUGAGAUCAAGUAAAAAAUCUGUUACAAUGGUCUAAGCAUUAUCUCACACAAUACCAUGUCAGGAAGUGAUAAGCAGGAACUAAAAUUUCUUUUCAUACAAAAAAAAAUAUCAAUAUUAGUCUACAAUUGUCUGCCAAGAACUUGCAAGUUGAAAUUCUAUAUACAGUAGAAAAAAGGUGGCCUGAAAUCAUUUUAGAUCAUUUUUCUAGGAUGAAGAACCAAGUCAUUUAAACUUCUGUUUUACGUUACACAUUUAUUCACAAUGUCAGUACUAAUAUUUGUACGUUCCUUCUAACUUUAGUAUUCUACUGUCCAUAGUUUAAAGAAUCAGUAGUUAAAUUCAAAUAUGGCCAUUUAUGUGGGUUCACAUUAGCUCCAAUACAUGCCCCAUACAAGACAGUUAACUUGUAGUAAAUUACACUGAUCUCAAGGGUGGUGCAAGUUAAUCAACUGAUCUAACAUGUAGGCCCUCACACUUAAUGAAGUGGUACAGAAAAGAUGAUAAUUAAAAACAUGUGACCUCAGCACUGGUCUUAGCUCACAUAAUUACUCACAGUUUGAAGGUGACCAUGAAAACGCAAUGUCCUGCAACUAUUUUUCUGUUUUGUUCCAUUCAAAAGCCAUACAAAGACAACAAUCUCUGGCACAUUACACAUUCCAUACUUUCAUCAGACAGAAGUGUGGAAACUGAAAUGGAAACAUUUACAUGCAGGGCUACUCCUAGAGAAAAAAAUUACUAUUACCUUAAUGCUUCUGUACAACAUAUUGGACACCACUGAAAGCUUCUCCUUCAUACCUAAAAAUAAACAGCAGACAAGCUUACCACUUGCAACAAGCAGAUACUUAGCACUAGGCCCCUUAAUAACAUACAUUAAGACUUUCUGAAGUCACGGAAGCAAUCAAAUGUGAAGUACUCGAGCCUCAGUUUGCAGUUUUUUUCAGAAGGCAGCAAGAAAUACAGUCAUUUAAGUAACAAGGAAACAAGUUAUAUUUGUUCACAAGGCAAAGAAAAUAUUUGUUUUGCUAUAUACAUUUCAAACACGUAGCUGCUUCUAACAAAAACGUUUAUUACUACACACCGUGUAGAUGAAAUAAAGGCCGCACUCUGUGAUAGAUCACUAAACUUGGCUUUGUUUCAAAUCAAAGCAAUUAAACUAUAUUUAUUGCACCCAAUAACCAUGGUGUACUAACAGCUAGUAAAGAUACAAGAACUUCACUGCUCAGUAACCUAACACCUGACUCAGGAUAUCAUUAGACGAGCCAUCUCAAGGCAGAGCGAUUGCCUCUUACGUGAAUACAGCCACCUAAUUGCUGCUUGCAGAUAAGCCUACAACUUCGCUACUCUUUUGAUUCCUGCUCUUCCAGGACAACUACUGCUCAAUGCUAACAGGAUUCCCACAGAGAAAGGAGUGUCUCAGGCUAAAGAUUAAAAAAACGUAUGUAUUUCCAUAAAGCUUCUUUCAUUCUGCUCUCAUUGCCUUGCAAGAAAUGCAAGCCUCAGCGGUUAAAGCGUUAAUCUAGUGAUUCACGUGGCACACAACCCUAUGUCGAAGUAAAAGGGCCAUUGUCUUCUUCGUAGACGCCCUAACCUCGUAUUAGAACACCUCUCUCCCGUCGAUGUAUGUAUCAGCGUGAGAAUCGAUAAUUUAACUGACAAUUAAAUGCAUCAAAGGACUGCCCCGUUCUAGGAAGGGGCAGUUUCUAUCCAUAACGCCUCACGGCUGCCGGUGCAGGCGAGCAGCGCUCGCCCAGCAGCCCCCGAGAGCAGUGCCACGGCCGCCGGCCUCAGCUCAAAAUGGCGCGGGCCACGCAGAGCCCCG